rnacentral:rRNA from 2 species
UUAAGCGACUAAGCGUACACGGUGGAUGCCCUGGCAGUCAGAGGCGAUGAAGGACGUGCUAAUCUGCGAAAAGCGUCGGUAAGGUGAUAUGAACCGUUAUAACCGGCGAUGUCCGAAUGGGGAAACCCAGUGCAAUUCGUUGCACUAUCGUUAACUGAAUACAUAGGUUAACGAGGCGAACCGGGGGAACUGAAACAUCUAAGUACCCCGAGGAAAAGAAAUCAACCGAGAUUCCCCCAGUAGCGGCGAGCGAACGGGGAGCAGCCCAGAGUCUGAAUCAGCUUGUGUGUUAGUGGAACGGUCUGGAAAGUCCGACGGUACAGGGUGAUAGUCCCGUACACCAAAAUGCACAGGUUGUGAACUCGAAGAGUAGGGCGGGACACGUGGUAUCCUGUCUGAAUAUGGGGGGACCAUCCUCCAAGGCUAAAUACUCCUGACUGACCGAUAGUGAACCAGUACCGUGAGGGAAAGGCGAAAAGAACCCCGGCGAGGGGAGUGAAAAAGAACCUGAAACCGUGUACGUACAAGCAGUGGGAGCACCUUCGGGUGUGACUGCGUACCUUUUGUAUAAUGGGUCAGCGACUUAUAUUCUGUAGCAAGGUUAACCGUAUAGGGGAGCCGCAGGGAAACCGAGUCUUAACUGGGCGUUAAGUUGCAGGGUAUAGACCCGAAACCCGGUGAUCUAGCCAUGGGCAGGUUGAAGGUUGGGUAACACUAACUGGAGGACCGAACCGACUAAUGUUGAAAAAUUAGCGGAUGACUUGUGGCUGGGGGUGAAAGGCCAAUCAAACCGGGAGAUAGCUGGUUCUCCCCGAAAGCUAUUUAGGUAGCGCCUCGUGAAUUCAUCUUCGGGGGUAGAGCACUGUUUCGGCUAGGGGGUCAUCCCGACUUACCAACCCGAUGCAAACUACGAAUACCGAAGAAUGUUAUCACGGGAGACACACGGCGGGUGCUAACGUCCGUCGUGAAGAGGGAAACAACCCAGACCGCCAGCUAAGGUCCCAAAGUCAUGGUUAAGUGGGAAACGAUGUGGGAAGGCACAGACAGCCAGGAUGUUGGCUUAGAAGCAGCCAUCAUUUAAAGAAAGCGUAAUAGCUCACUGGUCGAGUCGGCCUGCGCGGAAGAUGUAACGGGGCUAAACCAUGCACCGAAGCUGCGGCAGCGACACUAUGUGUUGUUGGGUAGGGGAGCGUUCUGUAAGCCUGCGAAGGUGUGCUGUGAGGCAUGCUGGAGGUAUCAGAAGUGCGAAUGCUGACAUAAGUAACGAUAAAGCGGGUGAAAAGCCCGCUCGCCGGAAGACCAAGGGUUCCUGUCCAACGUUAAUCGGGGCAGGGUGAGUCGACCCCUAAGGCGAGGCCGAAAGGCGUAGUCGAUGGGAAACAGGUUAAUAUUCCUGUACUUGGUGUUACUGCGAAGGGGGGACGGAGAAGGCUAUGUUAGCCGGGCGACGGUUGUCCCGGUUUAAGCAUGUAGGCUGGUUGUCCAGGCAAAUCCGGAUAAUCAAGGCUGAGGUGUGAUGACGAGGCACUACGGUGCUGAAGUAACAAAUGCCCUGCUUCCAGGAAAAGCCUCUAAGCAUCAGGUAACAUCAAAUCGUACCCCAAACCGACACAGGUGGUCAGGUAGAGAAUACCAAGGCGCUUGAGAGAACUCGGGUGAAGGAACUAGGCAAAAUGGUGCCGUAACUUCGGGAGAAGGCACGCUGGUGUGUAGGUGAAGCCCCUGCGGGUGGAGCUGAGACCAGUCGAAGAUACCAGCUGGCUGCAACUGUUUAUUAAAAACACAGCACUGUGCAAACACGAAAGUGGACGUAUACGGUGUGACGCCUGCCCGGUGCCGGAAGGUUAAUUGAUGGGGUUAUCCGUAAGGAGAAGCUCUUGAUCGAAGCCCCGGUAAACGGCGGCCGUAACUAUAACGGUCCUAAGGUAGCGAAAUUCCUUGUCGGGUAAGUUCCGACCUGCACGAAUGGCGUAAUGAUGGCCAGGCUGUCUCCACCCGAGACUCAGUGAAAUUGAACUCGCUGUGAAGAUGCAGUGUACCCGCGGCAAGACGGAAAGACCCCGUGAACCUUUACUAUAGCUUGACACUGAACAUUGAGCCUUGAUGUGUAGGAUAGGUGGGAGGCUUUGAAGCGUGGACGCCAGUCUGCGUGGAGCCAACCUUGAAAUACCACCCUUUAAUGUUUGAUGUUCUAACGUUGGCCCCUUACCGGGGUUGCGGACAGUGUCUGGUGGGUAGUUUGACUGGGGCGGUCUCCUCCCAAAGCGUAACGGAGGAGCACGAAGGUUAGCUAAUCCUGGUCGGACAUCAGGAGGUUAGUGCAAUGGCAUAAGCUAGCUUGACUGCGAGCGUGACGGCGCGAGCAGGUGCGAAAGCAGGUCAUAGUGAUCCGGUGGUUCUGAAUGGAAGGGCCAUCGCUCAACGGAUAAAAGGUACUCCGGGGAUAACAGGCUGAUACCGCCCAAGAGUUCAUAUCGACGGCGGUGUUUGGCACCUCGAUGUCGGCUCAUCACAUCCUGGGGCUGAAGUAGGUCCCAAGGGUAUGGCUGUUCGCCAUUUAAAGUGGUACGCGAGCUGGGUUUAGAACGUCGUGAGACAGUUCGGUCCCUAUCUGCCGUGGGCGCUGGAGAAUUGAGGGGGGCUGCUCCUAGUACGAGAGGACCGGAGUGGACGCAUCACUGGUGUUCGGGUUGUCAUGCCAAUGGCACUGCCCGGUAGCUAAAUGCGGAAGAGAUAAGUGCUGAAAGCAUCUAAGCACGAAACUUGCCCCGAGAUGAGUUCUCCCUGAGACUUUAAGUCUCCUGAAGGAACGUUAAAGACGAUGACGUUGAUAGGCCGGGUGUGUAAGCGCAGCGAUGCGUUGAGCUAACCGGUACUAAUGAACCGUGAGGCUUAACCUU